rnacentral:tRNA from 1 species
UGUUCUGUGGCCUAGUUGAUUAAAGCACCGGCCUAAAAAAUACGGAGUCAUGGGUUCAAAUCCCACCAGAAUUC